rnacentral:misc_RNA from 1 species
UAGGAAUAAAUAUGUCCCCAAAGAAAAAUGCUUUUUUUGCUUUUGUGACUGAAUAUCAAAAGGAACAAAUGAUCGAUCAAAACAUAUCUUUCAGUUUUCAACAAUUAGCUGAUAAGUUAACACCAAUAUGGAAUUCAAUGUCUGAUAAUGAAAAGAAUAAGUACAAAAUAUUUGCUGAUAAAUUAAAUUCUAAACGGAAGGAAAAAAAAAACCCAGAACAGAUUAUUACUCUUCACAAUAAUAGUUCAGAUUAUUGGAAAAUGAAAGAAUAUUUAGAAAAUAUGUUUGAAUCAAUAUCUGAAGAAGAAUUAUUAAAUACAAAGUUCAUUUUAUUACAUGUCAAUUGUCAUGCUCAUGAAGCAGAAAAAUAUUAUUUUCCAGCUGAAAUAGCAGCAUUAAAAUUUAAUUUAUCUAAAGGAGUUUUGCAUACAUAUCAUCAAAUUGUUGGCCUUGCCAACAAUUAUCCUAGAGGUUUUGCUGGUGGCAUGCGGGAGUAUUCAGACAAAUUUCAUCAAAUAGAUUGUUGGGAUAAAAAUCACCCUGAAAACUAUAAGAAAAUAUUGUCAGAUUUUAUAAACUUUUUAAAAGAUGAAGAAAUUUCCGAUUUAAAUGAUAGUACAUUAGAUUUACCUUGCAUGUUCACUGUAGAGACAGAAAUAGGUCUAGAUAUGAUGAAAACUAAAAAUAGUUUGGAAAGACUUUACCAAACAGUUUUUCCAGAACAUGAUCUGUUGAAUUACAAAUCAAUUUUCAAGAUUGGAAGUGUUGAGCGAUUAUUAUUUGAGAUAACAAAGAAAACAAAAAUGAAUUUGGAUAGUCGAAGUAUAAUAACAGGAUUGACAACCCAUGAUAUUUUAAAAACUGUACCACGAAGGAAGAAAUAUUGCAUUUCAAUGUUCAAAGGCUCGAGUUCUUCAAUGGAUGUCAAAUAUUUGCAAAUAUGUCGGUGAAUUUAUUGGUUUACAACUUAUUCCAGGAAGACACAUUGCCGUUCAGUUGAAAGAUGGAUCGAGAAUGAUUGUUGAAAAUGAAGAUACCCCUCUUUCUAAAGCUGAUCUAAGAAUGAAUAGUAUUAGAAGUUUAUCUGAUCAAAUUAAUCCAAUGA